rfam:Asian citrus Psyllid, Diaphorina citri - Florida Strain, whole genome shotgun sequence.
GCCUAGUUCGCUUAGAAGGGUAGAGCGCCUGCCUUGUAAGCGCUAGGUCGUGGAUUCGACUCCCGCUCGGGGCG